UGGCUAACCCAAUAACGAAAGUUUCGUAAGGGAACUGGAGCAGGCUACCAUGAGACAAAAGAUCUUCUUUCUAAAGAGAUUCGAUUCGGAACUAUGACACGAUGGAGUUCGAGUUGAUUUUUGUUUUCUCAGGGGAAAGUAUGGAAGGGUAGCGAAAAUUAAUAAAAUAAAUUAGAACAACUUAUUAAGUAUCUUUUUUAUAGAGAAAGCGAAAAGAUAAAAUUU
rnacentral:lncRNA from 1 species